GCUUCCAUAGUUAAAUGGAUAUAACAAGCCCCUCCUAAGGGCUAGUUGCAGGUUCGAUUCCUGCUGGGAGCA
rnacentral:tRNA from 1 species